rnacentral:rRNA from 1 species
CGGACGGGUGAGUAACGCAUGGGUAACCUGCCUUGUACUGGGGGACAACAGUUAGAAAUGACUGCUAAUACCGCAUAAGCGCACAGUAUCGCAUGAUACAGUGUGAAAAACUCCGGUGGUACAAGAUGGACCCGCGUCUGAUUAGCUAGUUGGUAAGGUAACGGCUUACCAAGGCGACGAUCAGUAGCCGACCUGAGAGGGUGACCGGCCACAUUGGGACUGAGACACGGCCCAA